UGGAGAGGUGGCCGAGUCGGUUUAAGGCAGCCGCCUGCUAAGCGGUUGUACGGGCUAAAACCCGUACCGUGGGUUCGAAUCCCACCCUCUCCGCCAU
rnacentral:tRNA from 1 species